AUGUCAAGACAAGGGCAUUUUCUUAACAACUCUUUGUACUUCUCCCAAGCAUCAAGAACCAUUUCAUUGUCCAUUUGUUUAAACAUACAAAACUCAUAUUUGGACUU